GAUGAAGAACGCAGCGAAAUGCGAUAAGUAAUGUGAAUUGCAGAAUUCAGUGAAUCAUCGAAUCUUUGAACGCACAUUGCGCCCGCCAGUAUUCUGGCGGGCAUGCCUGUCUGAGCGUCAUUUCAACCCUCAUGCCCCUAGGGCGUGGUGUUGGGGAUCGGCCAAAGCCCGCGAGGGACGGCCGGCCCCUAAAUCUAGUGGCGGACCCGUCGUGGCCUCCUCUGCGAAGUAGUGAUAUUCCGCAUCGGAGAGCGAUGAGCCCCUGCCGUUAAACCCCCAACUUUCCAAGGUUGACCUCAGAUCAGGUAGGAAUACACGCUGAACUUAAGCAUAUCAAUAAGCGGAGGA
rnacentral:misc_RNA from 1 species